rnacentral:lncRNA from 1 species
GGGUAUCCAUCUCUUUCUGAUCUGAUGCAUCAAAGCCCAGCCUCACAAAUCUCCCUCCACCGACACCUGCCAUUGUCCUGCUCAGAGAGGACAGUUCAUCUGUUCUGAUUAUGCCGGUGUCCUUUGUCUGUGACCACCUUGUGGCCACUGAGGCACACACUCAUCCUGAAUCUGGUCCUCUGUUACUAACUCAGCCAAGGCUGGGUUUUCCCUGUGUUCUGCUUUCUGUGAGGAUGUGCUGGAGUAUCACAUAUGCUUUCCCUGGCAUGUCUAGUACCACUUAAGGCAGAAAGAAAAGGAGUUGAUGACCACAUAUCUACUGCAUCAGCAACCCCAUGCCAUUUGUUCUUCUUUCUAAGCUUCUCUCCCUCCUCAAUCUCUCUCUCUCGUGUGACUUUCCUCCAGGUUGGAUGUGUUCAUGGCUGUCUUGAAGCCGAGUGGCUCUGACGCCCGACUGGAGGCCCUCACAAGAUCCUUGUGGAGGUGGAAGGCAGAUGACAGACUGAGCUGCAGGAUGACGCUGGCUUUACAAGAGGAAACAAGUUCGGGUCACAGGUGUCUGUGCGGUACCACCCCCCCAAACACCGCUAAGCCCCAUUAAAACCACUCUUUAUUGAUUUAUUACGGGCCUUCUACCACAAGCGACUGAGGCACAAAACAAAAACCCUGGAGGCUGGAGACAGCUCAGUUGAUCAAGUUCUUGCUGUACAAGCAGGAGCCUGAGAAUACUCCCCAGAACCAAGGAG